rnacentral:lncRNA from 1 species
UUUUAGAAUGACAGUUCGGGUUGGCCCAACCUCACAGACUUGUUUGGCCAGCUUCCGACAGAUGGCUUCAGUGCUGAGAACCUUGGUGAUGAGAACUUCAUCACCUUCUGGUUCCUGAUCAGACUGCGGCCCCUCCUACCUUCAGUGUCAGAGGAGUACCUAUCCUGCCUCAGCACUAGAGACUUCAGCUGUCAAGCCUACCAAGCACUUGUCAUGGGGCUGAGUGAUCACAUCUCAUCGAUGGAUGAGAUGAGACAGAAACUGGUCUACACACGCUUCAUUCACCCAUUCCUCACACAACACCGAUAUUCAGAUAUGAUGGGAUGUCCUUCCAAUGGGAGUUUGGAUUCAAUUAAGAGACAUUUUGGGAGAUUUUCCAUUUUCGCACCGCUACAGCACUUCUUUGAUGUGCAAAGAAACUUUUCUGCACUGGAGGCCCUGCCAGCUCUCUCUCCAAAGCAGUUAGCAGAACUGGUGCUGAUGCCCCACACUCCAACUCCACAGAGAGAUGACAUCAUCAACAGAGUCUUUGACCACCUCCACAACGACACCCGACUCCGAGACUUCCUCCAUGAGCUGCAGAUGCUAAUAAGAGGGACUAGCCUUGAGUGUGAGUCUUUCACAAGAAUAUUCAACAGGCUGGACAGGGCUGCUACAUCGGCCCCAUCUGAUUUGGGACCAGUCAUCAGAGACACACAGGACUCCGUAAUGGAUGCUGCUCCUCCGGGUUGCAACGUCGUUCCCUUUAAGUUUGGGGUGAGAAAUGUCAACAAUGUCAUUA